UUGAACGCUGGCGGCAUGCCUAACACAUGCAAGUCGAACGGCAGCACAGCAGUAGCAAUACUGUGGGUGGCGAGUGGCGGACGGGUGAGUAAUGCAUCGGGAUCUACCCAAACGUGGGGGAUAACGUAGGGAAACUUACGCUAAUACCGCAUACGUCCUACGGGAGAAAGCGGGGGACCGAAAGGCCUCGCGCGGUUGGACGAACCGAUGUGCGAUUAGCUAGUUGGUAGGGUAAUGGCCUACCAAGGCGACGAUCGCUAGCUG
rnacentral:rRNA from 1 species